CCUGCCCUGUCUCAGGUCCCACCCAUCUCAGCUUUGAGAGCCAGGGGUCCUCUCUCUGGAGCCUCAUGUCACCCUCCCGCGUCCCCCCAACCCCACACAGGUGACUGAUCCGCCUCCCUCGGGCACCCACCAGACGCUCUGCGUCAGGACGGGAGUCGCGGCUCCACGAAGGCGGGGCUGGUUUGCAUUUGAUGCUGUAGACAAACCAGCCCACUGCCUGGUACAGAGACCACCAGCUGGCAAGAGAGGAGACUGGCCGUGGGGUAGAGUCCAGGCCUGACCCAAAGGCCAGAAGAGGACGGAAGGUGGGGAGGGGAAAACCACGUCAGCCCCUCAUCCACGGCGUCCGACAGCGGCUCCUAGGAUCCAUCACUCAGCUGCGAAUCUCCCGGACCUGCGCAGAGGCUGCCAGGCCCGCCCCACCUCCGUGUCGCUGGGAGGCUGUGCCCGCAACCCCCAGGAAAGAGGGCCCUGCCCUGUGAGAUCCAGGACUCAGGACCUCAUCCCCCAUCCAGGCAGAGGCCAAGCCUCAGGCAGAGUGAGGUCCACCUGUGAACCAGGCUGGCUGGUCUGGGAGGGUCCAGGAGGGCAGAGUGAGGAGUCCAAGACUCCAGCCCCAAGGUGGGGGCCACAGAGGGGCGAUCCUUUCAGCCCCUUUCAGCUGCUGCCUGGGUGACACAGCCAGCCCACGGGUACGGACGACACUUCUGGGCUGUUAUCGAAUCACUACCUGCUCUGGCCGCACGCCUCCGCCGCUGCUGCAGCUUCUUAAACCUCUGGAAGUUGCCUGUGGGUUGGGUACUCAGAAUGCUCUCUUUGACCUCCUCACCCUCACCCACAUGUGCAGACCCAGCCCUUCAGAAGAUGCAGACGCACUUGUUCUGCCAUUUCUCAAACGCUCCAGGCCCCCCUCCUGCACCGUGCUCUGCUCCUGAGAUGAAGACCCCCACACGGAGAGGGCCUGCCCACCUCGAGGCUCCUGGAACCCCUUCACUCUCCACGCCCCGUGGCAGGGCUCAGCCCUGCCCUCCCCUCUGCCCUGACAGGUCCUGGUUGCCUGGGGCAAUGCUGCAUCUCCUUGCUGGCUCCGGUCAGCGGCUGGGCCCCUGUCACCUGCUCGCCUGUCUCUCAGGAUUGCCUCUCCACCACCCCGUCACACUGCAAGCUGCGUGCAUGUGGGGCCCUUCUGGUCUCACCGCUGAGCGAAUGUCCAGCUUCAGGAGGGAAGGAGUCCUUUGUGGGGUCCUCACCAGGUGAGGCAGAGUGGGUGAGGCGAGUGGUGGGCACUGCAGCCGGCUCUCCUGAUGACUGGAGUCACCUUGCCACACAGCCAGGGCUCUGUGCCUGCAGCUCCUUCCUUCCUUCCUUCCUCCCGAAGAAGCAUCUCAAACACCUCCGCUCUCCCCCUCUUUCCCCUGCAGCCCCAUCUCCCUCCGUGGCCCUUCCUGCUGGCAGACCAGCUCUCACUCCCCAGCCCAAGCCCACUGUGCCUCCCGUCAGCCACCAAGGUUGCUUCCCCCGACUGCCCCUGUCCAGAGAUCGCUUAGCUCUCUCCUCCUUGGGGUGAGCUCAAUGCUGGGAACAGGGCGUGCUGUGAGCUCUGUUAGUGGGGCUGAGAGGGUUCUGGGGUGGCCCCUGUGCCCGGUCCCCGUCCCGUGCCAUCUUGGUAGGCAGGUCCCCAGGCCUCUCCCUGCCCAGCCCACCUGCCAUUUGAGGGCCAAAGCCUGGGGAGGGUCCGAGCCUUGCGGGGCCCUCCUGACCGGGCAACAGGAUGGGGAGGUUGGCCCCCCCAGCCUUGCCCCCCAGCCUUCCCAGCACGGAUCCAGUCCUGGGCUCCACCUCUCGCCCUCAGAGACCUGGCCCUGAGCUGCCUGCAGGCCAAGCGUUUAAAAGUGACGCCUGUUGUGCAGGGAACGUCACAGGGCCUGGGGCCAGAGCCGAGCGGGGUCAUUUUUUUUAUUAUUAUUAAAAAGUAAAACCUAAACCAAGAAAAC
ensembl:lncRNA